rnacentral:ncRNA from 1 species
AAGUGGAGGUCCGAACCGACUGAUGUUGAAGAAUUAGCGGAUGAGUUGUGGUUAGGGGUGAAAUGCCACUCGAACCCAAAGACAAAAACCCGUCCUCAGUUCGGAUUGCAGGCUGCAACUCGCCUGCAUGAAGCCGGAAUCGCUAGUAAUCGCCGGUUAGCCAUACGGCGGUGAAUUC